rnacentral:rRNA from 1 species
GAUGAACGCUAGCGGCAGGCCUAACACAUGCAAGUCGAGGGGUAGCAGGAUUAAGCUUGCUUAAUUGCUGACGACCGGCGCACGGGUGCGUAACGCGUAUGCAACCUACCUUAUACUGGGGUAUAGCCCGGAGAAAUUCGGAUUAAUCCCCCAUAGUACUAAUGAAUCGCAUGGUUUAUUAGUUAAAGCAUUGCGGUAUAAGAUGGGCAUGCGUCCUAUUAGCUAGAUGGUGAGGUAACGGCUCACCAUGGCUACGAUAGGUAGGGGGCCUGAGAGGGUGGUCCCCCACACUGGUACUGAGACACGGCCCAGACUCCUACGGGAGGCAGCAGUGAGGAAUAUUGGUCAUGGGCGCAAGCCUUAACCAGCCAUGCCGCGUGCAGGAAGAAUGCCCUAUGGGUUGUAAACUGCUUUUAUUUGGGAAUAAACCUCUUUACGUGUAGAGAGCUGAAGGUACCAAAUGAAUAAGCACCGGCUAACUCCGUGCCAGCAGCCGCCGUAA